AUGAGGCAUGUUACCAUAGUAACUGCCAAUGGUUUAUUUAAGAAGGGCAAAGAAACAAACACCACAAAAAGGCGAAGUCGAGAGGAAUAGAAGAUUGCUGGAGGAAUCUGUCGGGACACAGACAACACAGGGCCAGUGAUUGUUGCCAUGUUCACCUACCACCCGCGCUGCGUUCACAUCCCUGAUGUCCAUGCCACCCAAUAGGGCCUACUGCUGUGAUGCUCUGCGAUGGAUGAGCACCUGGGAAAGAGCUGUUGUCUGAAUCCCUUCCUUCUGCCAGGGCUGAGCUCCAGGUUGGAAAAUGAGUAUUGCAAAAGGAAAAGAAGAGGGAAAAGAAUCAUAGAAUCAUUAAGGU